GUCAUUAAGUAAUAAAACUAGAAGGCCAUUUUCCAUAAUGCCAUUGCAAAGAUGCUUAUUAGAAAAAUAAAUAGAGCAACCAUUGCCUUUUCCAUUAAUUUCAAAACCUUUCUUUAACAACAAAGGAAUAGAAAUUACAUUUCUAAUAAUUUUGGGCAUAUAAUAACAAUCUUCUAAUUGUAGGAGCUUUCCCGAAGGCAAUUCCAAGUUGUAGGUUCCAACAGCUUCAGCCUGGAUGGAUUCUCCUCCAGCGCCAUACAGCUCGAAGUCACCUUUCUUCAAAAUUUUAUUUUCUGUAGUCCAUGUAAAGAUUUGCAAAUCUGAAAACCACAGCCGGUAUCCAAUACCCAUGAAUUUGAAUUUGAAGAACUUAAUGACAAGUUGGCAUGUAACAUAAACAUACCUUUUGAUG
rnacentral:lncRNA from 1 species